CGCGCCCUGGACAUCCUGCUG
rnacentral:misc_RNA from 1 species